rnacentral:lncRNA from 1 species
ACAGUCUGAUGAACAUUCUAGAGUAUGUGGACACAGAUGGACGCUCUGGCCACAGGCUCUGGCUCUUAGGUUCCCUGGACUUCUCCACACAUCUCCUUCAUCCAGUGUGAUCCUCCCUACGGGUCUCUUCGCUGCAGCUCAGGUCUGAUCUAGGAAGAAGAGUGGGCUUAAUUGGAAGACGGGAUGAGGGUAUAAAGAGGAGACUUGGGGGACCUGGGCUCUUCUUUCUUUGGCCUCCUUAUGCCCAGAAUCUCUCCCUUUUCUGUUUCCUCUGCUCAAGCUGUGUGUUGGUUUCCCAUCUCUUCUGACUGCAUCUGAUUGACUGGCCUUUCCUUCUUCCUUCCUUAUUUUGUUCUCUGUUCUCCCUCCCCUGCUGUUUUUGCUAUUGGUAACCAACUCUUCAUCCUCAGCACAGGGCCCAUGCUCUGGUUGCCUAGCUCAGUGGUCAGAACACAGAGGGCUGUUGAACAGGAGUCUGGCCACACAUGAGUGUGUCUGUAGGUGGGGUUGAGGGGAGACUCAAAGAGAUGUCUUCCAAUCCCAUUGUCUUUCAGACCUACAUUCCUAAAGCUACCCCGAGCAGCCCAGCUGUGGCAGAGUAUCUCGGGAACUAGCUUGGCUUAGCUGGAGCGGACUCACUCACUCUUUUUUCUACCCCCAGGCCCGCCAGUGAUUUAGUUCCUGAUCCUUCCAAAAUCUGGUCCCCCUGUUGUCUGCUUUCUCUUGAGAUGGCUUGCCACACCUAGGGCCAAACUCUAUCUUCCAGCAGCUGCAGAGGUCAAAAGCCUUGCAAAUGGAAGUCACAGAGGGGACGUGAAGGAAGAAAUGAAUACUGCAGACCAGGGGGUGUGUCCUGGGAGGAUGGGGAGGAAGAAAGAUAGGCUAAGGUUACUGUCCUCCUGGCUAAGUGGAAGGGGCAAGGGACACUGUGGAUAGCUGUGUUUGGAAUGUCACUUGACUACAUCUCUCAUCCCGUGUCCUCUCAGAGACCUGCCUGGGAUGGGAUCUAAGGGGACAUUACUACAUCUGCUGAGGGGGUCAUACCUUUGCCGACUGAAAAGUCACUGGUCAGUUCCUACACCCCAGGACUUCUGUGGCCCAGCUCUGCAUAUUAUCAGCGUAGGAUACUAACUAGCAGUGGCACCUAGGUGCUUGCUUGGUGGAUGAGCUUCAGAGUUCAGGUGAGUUCAGAGGCUUCUCUAAAUCCUGUUUCAACCUGACAGGCACUGGGCCUGGGGAAGUCACAAAGGAGGUAUCACUUCUUGCUAUGUUUGGCUGGAGGAGGAUCUAUGAGCCAGUGCUGUACAGGGAAGGCUCCGAACUUCACAGGGCCCUAGGGAUCGGCUUUUGCCACUUCCCCACCUUCUUCUUCCAAGCCCCACCUCCCCACCCUAGAGCCCAGGGACCAAGGUCAGAGAAGAAGAGUCUAGAGGCAGGAUUUUGGCUUUAAGGAAAAUUGCUUUAUUCUGCUUCCACCUAAAGGGCUGUUGCAAAGGCUCCAGGUCUGAGGGCUUCACGGGCACCCUUGGAGCUGGGUAGCACAAGAGCUACUCCUCAUUCAGGCCCUUUUGAAAUAAAAACAAAGUCCAAAUUAGCUCUGGGGAGGCCAGCAUUGUGAGAACAAGGCAUGGAAACUGAAAUUGAGACUAGGGCACCUGGUGGGUGGAGACUCUUGUGUGACCUUGCAGGAUCCCCUCUGUUGGCAGGGAUAUGCUUUCAGGGGUCGGUGUGGAAGGAGAACGUUCUGGAGAUAAGGGCGCUUAACUAGGAGGGAGGGAAGCUGCCUCUGUGAGAUCAGUGGAGACCUUGGGAUAGCCUUUACAUGCUUGAGAUUCAAGGAUAGGAGCCGGAAUGAAGUGGGAAAUAGACACGGUAGCUGGGGGGAUCUGGAUCUAAGGGGUGUGUAUAAAUCGGGGCCAUAUAGGGUUUUUGACUCCUCUUGACCUGGGGUUCCCAGAAUCACUGCAAAUGAGGUCACAGAGAGCCUAAGAUGUUACUGGGAACUCAGUCACCUUAGCCUUUGGGGCUUUGGGGCUCAGCUAGGGACUAAAUGAAACAACGUUGUCUGAGGGGACAGAGGAGCUGUGCCUCCUGUGGGAGGUGACAAGUGAGGUCCAGGGGAGAAACCCACCUUGGCACCAAUGUCCCGGCUCUUGGCCCGCAGCUUGUUGACCUGGGACUCGGCGAUGUCCGCCCUCUCCUCCGCCUCAUCCAGCUCGUGCUGCACCUUGCGGAACUUGGACAGCCUCCAGCUCAUUCUCCAGCUCCCGGACCCGGGCCUCCAGCUUCUGCAGCUGCUUCUUGCCGCCCUUGAGGGCGAUCUGCUCUGCCUCGUCCAGACGGUGCUGCAAGUCCUUGAUGGUCUGCUCCAUGUUCUUCUUCAUGCGCUCCAGGUCGUCAUUGGCACGGACAGCAUCAUCCAGCUGGAUUUGAGUGUCCUGAGGAUCAGAAAAAUGAGUGGCCUCAUUGCGGCUGCGUGUCUCCGCAUCCAGGGAGGUCUGCAGGGAGUCCACCAUCCGCAGGUGGUUGCGCUUGGCCUGCUCCAUCUCCUCAUCCUUCUCUGCCAGCUUCCUUUCAAUCUCUGCCUUGAUCUGGUUGAACUCUAGCUGGGCGCGGAGGAUCUUGCCCUCCUCGUGCUCCAGGGAGGCCUGGAAAGGAUAUAGAUUUUGCAGGCAUAUAGUCAGAGACCAGGGUGGAAGCAAGGGUGUGUCUAAAAACCAUGGCACAGAGAGCAUUUGGGGAUGGUAUACAUGACUCAGUAGGAGAUGCAGUGGAAGGAAAUGAGAAAGAGUGUGCACAAGAGAAAUGAAAGCAAGCUGAAGAGAAGGGGAUGCAGACUCCCAGGGGGGCGGAGGGAGUCAGCUUUGAAGACAAAGAGGAAAAUGAAAAGUGUUGCCAAGGAAACAGAGGCAAUGAAGCAGAGAGUAAAGGAACAAAAAAAAAAAAACCACCACACACAGGCAGGCAGAGGUGGAAAGUGGAAUGAGCUGAAAUAGGAGUCUUUCUAAGGUACAGUAAAUAAAAUGUUUGUGUGAAGGAACUUGA